rnacentral:rRNA from 1 species
UUGGUGGAUCUGAAUGGACUGUCGCUGCACGGCCGGGUCUUGUGUCCGUCGCACUUCUCGCUGGAGCGCGUCAACAGCUGCUGGGCCUGGUCGACACGGUCGGAUGGAAGGUGAGCAUCCAGCUUGCUGGCUGUUGUUAUAUCCACUCGUACCUAGAUCGGGCUUGGCAGAGGCGAGCGGUGCAUGCUCUCUCUCGAGAGGGCUGGCGUCCUGUUCCGUUCACGUAGCUGGCUUGGAUGCACUGCGUGCAGUUCGUUCUUGCCGGUGAAAUGGCGUGCAGUCAACGCACACGAUGCACCAUGGUUGUUGGCGGCCAUAUGGCUUUAUCCGACCCGUCUUGAAACACGGACCAAGGAGUCUAACAUGUGCGCAAGUCUUGGGGUGACCGAAACCCAGAGGCGCAAUGAAAGUGAAGGCUGCCUAGCAGCUGAGGUGAGAUCUUUGCUCUACGCGAGUGAGGCGCAUCAUCGACCGACCUAUUCUACUCUUAGGAAGGUUUGAGUAAGAG